UCUGCUAUUGCUUGUUACGUUUUUUGCGGAACAAAGAGGAUUUGUGUGUGUGAGAGAGAGCAUGUACACUGUGUGUUUUACGAAGGCAGAGGGCAUUCAAAGCAUCAUUGAUUUUAUGCUGGGAAACAAAGAUUACUGAAAGAAUGUCAUUUCCUGAUUGCUGCCAGGGAUUACAUGAAUUUUAAGAACAUUAAAAGGAACCGGGAUUUUAUUUGUAAUGGUUGGAAUCUAAUGUUGCAACUAAAAUAACUUCGUUAUUCACCACA